rnacentral:rRNA from 1 species
GAAUUCAACUCCUACGGGAGGCAGCAGUGGGGAAUAUUGCACAAUGGGCGAAAGCCUGAUGCAGCGACGCCGCGUGAGGGAUGACGGCCUUCGGGUUGUAAACCUCUUUCAGCAGGGAAGAAGCGAAAGUGACGGUACCUGCAGAAGAAGCACCGGCUAACUACGUGCCAGCAGCCGCGGUAAUACGUAGGGUGCGAGCGUUGUCCGGAAUUAUUGGGCGUAAAGAGCUUGUAGGCGGUUUGUCGCGUCUGCUGUGAAAAUCCGGGGCUCAACCCCGGACUUGCAGUGGGUACGGGCAGACUAGAGUGUGGUAGGGGAGACUGGAAUUCCUGGUGUAGCGGUGAAAUGCGCAGAUAUCAGGAGGAACACCGAUGGCGAAGGCAGGUCUCUGGGCCACUACUGACGCUGAGAAGCGAAAGCAUGGGGAGCGAACAGGAUUAGAUACCCGAGUAGUCCAGGCGUU